rnacentral:misc_RNA from 1 species
GCUUUGGACCGUUGGAUUAAGCCUAGUUCAAAUUUGCUCCACAAGAUGAACGAUGAAGCCCUCUUUUGGAGAGCUUCGUUUGUUCCUAAAAUAAAAAAGUACCCUUUCAAGAGAGUUCCAAAGAUUGCAUUUAUGUUCUUGACGAAGGGGCCACUGCCUCUGGCAGCUCUUUGGGAAAGGUUUCUGAAGGGGCAUGACGGGUUGUAUUCAAUCUAUGUUCAUUCACCGCCAACAUUUGAAGCCAAAUUUCCACCUUCAUCCGUUUUUUAUGGAAGACAUAUCCCAAGUCAGAUUUCUGAAUGGGGUAAGAUGAAUAUGUGUGAUGCUGAAAGAAGG